rnacentral:rRNA from 1 species
AUUGAACGCUGGCGGCAUGCCUUACACAUGCAAGUCGAACGGUAACAGGUCUUCGGAUGCUGACGAGUGGCGAACGGGUGAGUAAUACAUCGGAACGUGCCUAGUAGUGGGGGAUAACUACUCGAAAGGGUGGCUAAUACCGCAUGAGAUCUACGGAUGAAAGCAGGGGAUCGCAAGACCUUGUGCUACUAGAGCGGCCGAUGGCAGAUUAGGUAGUUGGUGGGAUAAAAGCUUACCAAGCCGACGAUCUGUAGCUGGUCUGAGAGGACGAUCAGCCAGACUGGCACUGGGACACGGCCCAGACUCCUACGGGAGGCAGCAGUGGGGAAUUUUGGACAAUGGGCGCAGGCCUGAUCCAGCAAUGCCGCGUGCAGGAUGAAGGCCCUCGUGUUGUAAACUGCUUUUGCACGGAACGAAAAGCCCCGGGUUAAUACCCUGGGGUCAUGACGGUACCGUAAGAAUAAGCACCGGCUAACUACGUGCCAGCCGCCGCCGUAA